UACGAAGGGUACAAGCGUUACUCGGAAUUACUGGGCGUAAAGCGUGCGUAGGUGGUUUGUUAAGUCUGAUGUGAAAGCCCUGGGCUCAACCUGGGAAUUGCAUUGGAUACUGGCAGGCUAGAGUGCGGUAGAGGGUAGUGGAAUUCCCGGUGUAGCAGUGAAAUGCGUAGAGAUCGGGAGGAACACCAGUGGCGAAGGCGACUACCUGGACCAGCACUGACACUGAGGCACGAAAGCGUGGGGAGCAAACAGG
rnacentral:rRNA from 1 species